UGGGGAAUUGUUCGCAAUGGGCGCAAGCCUGACGACGCAACGCCGCGUGGAGGAUGAAGGUCUUCGGAUUGUAAACUCCUGUUGAUCGGGACGAAAAGCUUCGACCUAACACGUCGAAGACUGACGGUACCGGUUGAGGAAGCCACGGCUAACUCUGUGCCAGCAGCCGCGGUAAUACAGAGGUGGCAAGCGUUGUUCGGAAUUACUGGGCGUAAAGGGCGCGUAGGCGGCCUUCUAAGUCGGACGUGAAAGCCCCAGGCUUAACCUGGGAACUGCGUCCGAUACUGGGAGGCUUGGAUUCGGGAGAGGGAUGUGGAAUUCCAGGUGUAGCGGUGAAAUGCGUAGAUAUCUGGAGGAACACCGGUGGCGAAGGCGGCAUCCUGGACCGACAUCGACGCUGAGGCGCGAAAGCUAGGGGAGCAAAC
rnacentral:rRNA from 1 species